rnacentral:siRNA from 1 species
CUGGAAUACUUGAACUACCAU